ACACGUGAGCAACCUACCCUUCCAGAGGGGGACAACAGUUGGAAACGACUGCUAAUACCGCAUAAGACCACGGUGUGGCAUCACACAGAGGUCAAAGGAGAAAUCCGCUGAAGGAUGGGCUCGCGUCCAAUUAGCUAGAUGGUGAGGUAACGGCCCACCAUGGCGACGAUUGGUAGCCGGACUGAGAGGUUGAUCGGCCACAUUGGGACUGAGACACGGCCCAGACUCCUACGGGAGGCAGCAUG
rnacentral:rRNA from 1 species